rnacentral:rRNA from 1 species
AGUGAACGCUGGCGGCGUGCUUAACACAUGCAAGUCGAACGAGAACGGAUUAUAGCUUGCUAUAAUUGUCAGCUAAGUGGCGCACGGGUGAGUAAUGUGUAGGUAAUAUGCCUCUUACUAAGGGAUAACAAAUAGAAACGUUUGCUAAUACCUUAUACUCCUUAUUAACAGAAGUUAAUAAGGGAAAGAUUUAUUGGUAAGAGAUUAGCCUGUAUUGUAUCAGUUAGUUGGUGGGGUAAUGGCUUACCAAGACUAUGACACAUAACUGGUUUGAGAGGAUGAUCAGUCACACUGGAACUGAGACACGGUCCAGACUCCUACGGGAGGCAGCAGUGGGGAAUAUUGCACAAUGGACGAAAGUCUGAUGCAGCAACGCCGCGUGGAGGAUGACACAUUUCGGUGCGUAAACUCCUUUUAUAUGAGAAGAUAAUGACGGUAUUAUAUGAAUAAGCACCGGCUAACUCCGUGCCAGCCGCCGCCGUAAUAC